rnacentral:rRNA from 1 species
AGGGUUUGAUCCUGGCUCAGAAUGAACGUUGGCGGCGUGGAUUAGGCAUGCAAGUCGAGCGCGAUACUUUUGAUUGAGUCUUCGGACAAUUUUAGAAGUGGAAAGCGGCGAAAGGGAGAGUAACGCGUAGAUACGUACCUAGAGGUCUGGGAUAGCCACGGGAAACUGUGGGUAAUACCGGAUAAUGUCUCCGGACCAAAGAUUUAUCGCCUUUAGAUCGGUUUGCGUACUAUUAGCUAGUUGGCGGGUAAUGGCCCACCAAGGCAAAGAUGGUUAGCGGGUGUGAGAGCAUGGCCCGUCUCACUGGGACUGAGACACUGCCCAGACACCUACGGGUGGCUGCAGUCGAGAAUCUUCCGCAAUGGGCGAAAGCCUGACGGAGCGACGCCGCGUGCGGGAUGAAGGCCCUCGGGUUGUAAACCGCUGUCAGAGGGGAGGAAAAUUUGACCGAUCCUCAGAGGAAGCACAGGCUAAGUUCGUGCCAGCAGCCGCGGUAACACGAACUGUGCAAACGUUAUUCGGAAUCACUGGGCUUAAAGAGUUCGUAGGCGGCCAUGCAAGUCAGAUGCGAAAUCCCACAGCUCAACUGUGGAACUGCGUUUGAAACUGCAUGGCUUGAGGGAGACAGAGGUAAGCGGAACUGAUGGUGGAGCGGUGAAAUGCGUUGAUAUCAUCAGGAACACCGGUGGCGAAAGCGGCUUACUGGGUCUUUUCUGACGCUGAGGAACGAAAGCUAGGGGAGCGAACGGGAUUAGAUACCCCGGUAGUCCUAGCUGUAAACGAUGAGCACUAGUCCGAGGACCCUUCCACAAGUUCUCGGACGUAGCGAAAGUGUUAAGUGCCCCGCCUGGGGAGUAUGUCCGCAGGGAUGAAACUCAAAGGAAUUGACGGGGGCUCACACAAGCGGUGGAGGAUGUGGCUUAAUUCGAGGCUACGCGAAGAACCUUACCCAGAUUUAACAUGUUUAAGAAUUCCUGUGAAAGCAGGAAGUGCCCUUCGGGGAGCUUUUACGUAGGUGCUGCAUGGCUGUCGUCAGCUCGUGUCGUGAGAUGUCGGGUUAAGUCCCUUAACGAGCGAAACCCUUAUCAUUAGUUGCCAGCGGGUUAUGCCGGGGACUCUAGUGAGACUGCCGGUGUUAAACCGGAGGAAGGUGGGGAUGACGUCAAGUCCUCAUGGCCUUUAUAUCUGGGGCUGCACACGUCCUACAAUGCAACGCACAAAGGGAGGCUAACUCGCGAGAGUACGCAAAUCCCAAAAAACGUUGCUCAGUUCGGAUUGCAGGCUGAAAUUCGCCUGCAUGAAGCUGGAAUCGCUAGUAAUCGUAGGUCAGCAUACUACGGUGAAUGUGUUCCUGAGCCUUGUACACACCGCCCGUCAAGCCACGAAAGUUGGGGGGGCCCGAAGUCGCGAUUCCAACCGCAAGGAGGAUAGCGCCGAAGGUCAACUCGAUGAUUGGGACUAAGUCGUAACAAGGUA